CAGCAAAUCUUCGAGAGUAAAGUGUCAGCUCGAAGGGUGAGCUUGUUUUUUGCUCACCCCAUGAUUAGCGUGGGUUGAGGCUCUGCUAUCAGAGGGGGAGAUGAUACGGGGCUCGUUCGAUCUUGUUCCCGGUGAGCUCGCUGCUUCUUCUCCGUCAGCUAGUUUACAUAACAUCACAAGAAAGCUGAGUGAUCAUUUCUGGAUCUGAAUUUAAUUGAGCCACAGUCAACAGUGUGUUUGUUACCUCUUGCUCUAAAUUUUUGUUCUGCUCGCGAAGUGCUCUCUCCUACACAUCGAAAGGCAAAGAAGUAACAACGAUUCCAUGAAGCGCCGUGACUAACUCUCAUGGGCCAUGGUGGCAGAUGUUAAGCUAAGUGAAUGAGUUUCUAAGAAGCUUCUUUGCCUUCGAAAAGUUUCCGAGAAGGAUAGAGUUCUUAGUGGAAGAGAUCGCUAGGAGUGGAUGGAUUAGUCACUUCAAGAAGACGGAUACCAAAUAAACCAAGGUGUUGUGCAUAUGAAGUCAAGAUUGAAACAAGGCUUUUGCUGCGCAUUAACAACAAGCAUAAAACAUCAAAGAGAAAUAAUUGAAGUUAUUCACACCUCCUCUAGAUCGCACGGGUCCUAACAUUAUCAACUCUAAUUAAAUAAACAACAAUUAAAAUUUUCCAAUACUUUUCUUUAUGGUCAUCUCUAGAAAAUCGUAUUUAUGGAGCAGAUUCAUUCAUCCACAAUUUCAAACACAUGUUUAUUAGUCUAAGAAAUCUAUAUAUGGUAUUUGAUAAACCCCCCUGAAUGAUUUUAUCGUCUACCUAUUUUAUUAUACAUUCAAGGAUUCUAUGACUCAAAAUUUGAUACUUCUUUAUUUUAUAAGUAUAAUGUUGACCAUAUUUCUUUUUAUUUAUAUGGAUGAUAUUCUAUUACUGUAAUAAUUAAGAAGACAUCAAUGCUAAACUUUGUCUUUUUAA